AUUACAUUUGUUCUCCGAGUUUUUAUAGAAGCCCCAUCGCUAUCACCAUCACUAUUUUGAUUUUUCCAAGAUGGCCGUUUUUGUUUCGCGAACGUUCUGCGAGGAGAGUUCGGCGACUUGCGUGACUUACGAACAGAACUGCCUAAUUGUACCUACAAUUGAGUAAAUUGUUUUAGAGGAGGGGAUGCCCAGCUUCAGCAGCUUCAAUGUGCGAGGAACACUCCAGCCCCCUCAACAAAGCUGGAGUGCCGCUUGUGCCUGGACAAUGGAAGAUGAUGCAAAGGCCAAAAGAAAGCUACUCUGCAUCUGCACUCUGAAUAAUGUGAUGUCUCGGUAGCUACACAUGCUUUGUUAAAGGGAAGUUUAUUUCGCCACUUGCUAGGCAUCAUUGAGCAAGGUGAUCAUGCAGACGGCGACGCAAUGAAGCGUGGAAAUGGGCACCUAAGAGCUGCACUCUAAACCAGUUUUUCUCUGUUGCCGGUGCACAAGCAGGUAAGGGCGGAUAGCAUUCCUAGUGCCAAUUCCUUUGCGGUCAACGAAAAACGCUUUUUGAACAACGCUCUUUCUGUUUUAAGUAUUGUGCAGGCCUUAAGUUUACUAUAAGAACAACAACAACAA
rnacentral:lncRNA from 1 species